rnacentral:hammerhead_ribozyme from 1 species
AUCCAGCUGACGAGUUCCAAAUAGGACGGAGUGGCGCGUCCUGGAU